rnacentral:rRNA from 1 species
UGUUUCGGCAAGGGGGUCAUCCCGACUUACCAACCCGAUGCAAACUGCGAAUACCGGAGAAUGUUAUCACGGGAGACACACGGCGGGUGCUAACGUCCGUCGUGAAGAGGGAAACAACCCAGACCGCCAGCUAAGGUCCCAAAGUCAUGGUUAAGUGGGAAACGAUGUGGGAAGGCCCAGACAGCCAGGAUGUUGGCUUAGAAGCAGCCAUCAUUUAAAGAAAGCGUAAUAGCUCACUGGUCGAGUCGGCCUGCGCGGAAGAUGUAACGGGGCUAAACCAUGCACCGAAGCUGCGGCAGCGACGCUGAUGCGUUGUUGGGUAGGGGAGCGUUCUGUAAGCCUGUGAAGGUGUGCUGUGAGGCAUGCUGGAGGUAUCAGAAGUGCGAAUGCUGACAUAAGUAACGAUAAAGCGGGUGAAAAGCCCGCUCGCCGGAAGACCAAGGGUUCCUGUCCAACGUUAAUCGGGGCAGGGUGAGUCGACCCCUAAGGCGAGGCCGAAAGGCGUAGUCGAUGGGAAACAGGUUAAUAUUCCUGUACUUGGUGUUACUGCGAAGGGGGGACGGAGAAGGCUAUGUUGGCCGGGCGACGGUUGUCCCGGU